ensembl:lncRNA
GCAACUACCUGAUAAACAGCAGAUACAGCAGAUAAAUUAAUUAUAGGCUAUUACUUUUGCAUUUAUGUAGGGAGAGGUGUAUGCUGGGUAAUGGCACAGCUAGCGACUGGGUGACUUUAUUCACCCGCUUCGGCUGUUAUCAGUCCAUACAAUGGGCGUUAUUAACAGAAAUCAGUCCCAUAGAUGUGGGCCAUCCACCUGCUAGAUUGUUCAGAAGGUUGUUCUCAUCCAUUCAGAUGGAGGAUCAGUAACAGGAGCGUGGAAGACUCCAGAAUCCACUCUGGCUGGAAUCCGGUGGAUACAGCAGCGUGUACAGGAUGAAUGUCAAGCGCCUGCAGGCCUGAUGGGUGUGGUCCUGCUGGAGGACUGACCACACCCGAAGCUCCUGCCACACACCUGUUGCUGAUCAGGGCUCGUCGAGGGAGCUAUUUAGGAGAGUGCUGGAGCUCCCACCGACGUGGGAUCAUUGCAUGAGACUCCACGAGAAGUGUGGAGCGCCAGACAGCAGUUAGCACGAGGAGUGCUG